rnacentral:rRNA from 1 species
GUCGCACGAGAAAGUGGGAAACCAUGAGUACAGUGGCGUACGGGUGAGUAACACGUGGGUAAUCUACCUCUGAGUGGGGAAUAACCCUGGGAAACCGGGGCUAAUACCGCAUAAUCUCGAGAGAGGAAAGCAGCAAUGCGCUGAGAGAGGAGCCCGCGGCCGAUUAGCUAGUUGGUAGGGUAAGAGCCUACCAAGGCAGAGAUCGGUAGCCGGCCUGAGAGGGCACACGGCCACACUGGCACUGAAACACGGGCCAGACUCCUACGGGAGGCAGCAGUGGGGAAUCUUGCACAAUGGGGGAAACCCUGAUGCAGCGACGCCGCGUGAGCGAUGAAGCCCUUCGGGGUGUAAAGCUCUUUCGUCAGGGAAGAUCAUGACGGUACCUGGAGAAGCAGCUGCGGCUAACUACGUGCCAGCAGCCGCGGUAAUACGUAGGCAGCGAGCGUUGUUCGGAGUUACUGGGCGUAAAGGGUGUGUAGGCGGUUCUUUAAGUUUGGUGUGAAAUCUCCCGGCUCAACCGGGAGGGUGCGCCGAAUACUGAGGGACUUGGAGUGCGGGAGAGGAAAGUGGAAUUCCUGGUGUAGCGGUGAAAUGCGUAGAUAUCAGGAGGAACACCGGUGGUGUAGACGGCUUUCUGGACCGUAACUGACGCUGAGACACGAAAGCGUGGGUAGCAAACAGGAUUAGAUACCCUGGUAGUCCACGCCCUAAACGAUGCAUAUUUGGUGUGGGUCAUUCAG